CUUUGCUGCAGCCUGCCGGGCGCAGUUCGCGUGAUUAAGCAGAUGCCUUUCCUGGUGCUAGUAGGAACUCUCACCACCACCACCCCCAUUCCCCUCCAACCUUUGCUAGAGGAGAGAAGCCAGAGCCUGGAGGCCAAGUCCUUCAAACUCCAUUGCGACUCCUCCCGUCAGGGCGCGGCCUAAAGCCCACGGCGGAACGCUGGACUUAGACCAGGGAUGUCAGCAGGUCAGGCUUCUGUCAGUCGGAGCAGAGGCUCUCCGGUAAAGGUGGGUGCUGUCAUCGGGGAAGUGACCAGGCCUGGCUCACCUGUACUCCAGAGAGCGUGAGAAGGCGGUGCCCCUGCGAAGCCGCCUGGUCAGUGGCGAACCCAGAGGCAGGGUAGGAGGGAGUGUGGUGGAGCUGGCCAGCGCUCAGACACGCAAGCAGAGCCGGGAGAACUGAGGGCCAGCUUCAUGUCCUCUGACGUGGCACUGUGGGUCACUCUGUAAAGCUAACAUUUGUCUUUAGAGAGCCAGGUUUCCAAACUCUUUCUACACAGAACACAUGGUAGCCUCAACUUUAAGUCCCUAAAAAGAAGCAGCAACCCCAACCCUAGGAUGGCUAGAGCUAAAUAAUAGCAAGGCCUUGUCUAGAUAAAUAAAUAAAUAAUAAAAUGCAAGGUCUCCACUCUCAGGCCCCCAAGGGUAGAGAUGUUAAAGGGACAGCUGUGCUGGCUCCCAUCUCUGACUCCAUCCUAAGGUAGGGACAGAACUCGAUGCCUGCUACAGACUGGCUGGCAUCAUGCAGCCAAGCUAACCUGGCCUCUGAGUGACAGACUCCGGUUUUAGGCCCAGUCUGUGCCCAUAUCCUCUGCUCUGUUGACUGAAACCUCUCUGGGCAUCAGGAGAGCCACUGGGCAGUUUGAGGACUUGAAUGGCAUACUUUAAUGCAUAUGCAAAGGCAAUGGGCACAAACUGGGACUGCCUGAGGCAGGCAGGGCACAUGGUGACUCCUGAGUUUAUGGGUGCCCCCACCAUUACAUGGGUACCUCCUCUUUGCCUGGGGACUCUUCAUUUAUUUGGAAGUUGGGCACAUCAUCUCCAGUUCCCUGGAGUCCUAUGUAGUCAGCAUCUGGUACAAAGCUGUUAUAGCCUAGGCUGUACUUCAGAGCACACAGGAUUCCCAUGCAUGAAGGCUAUGUCAGGACUCCCUGUGGCUUCUGACACUGUGACCAGCACUUGGUAACCAUGUAUUCUUUGUAGUGCUACCCAGUCAGCCUCUCCCAGGCUGCACUGUCUGGUGUGGUGGCUCCUGGGCAGUUACAUAGAGCUGCUUCACGCUGAGCUGAACUGUGAACAUAAAGCACAUCAGACAGGUGAGAAUUCAUUGGUGAGUGUUUAUUGAAUGUUGAGUAUUCUGAGAGAAUUGGGUUGAAUAAAACUUCUUAUUAAAUGUGAUAUGUCUUUUCUUUAACUAGGAAGUAUAAAACUCCAAAUGUAGCUGUCAGUACAUUUCUCCCAGACAGUCCUAGCCUAGAUGCUGUGUACUUGACAUUCCUUACUCUAGGGCUUAUGGCCUCCUUGAGUCAGGAAGCCACAUGGUACUGUUUCCUUUCUGGCACUGAGAAGCCAGGGGCAGACCUCUGAAGACUGCUACAGGAAGAGGUAGCAGUCUUGGUAAAGAGAGGGUGUCUCUUGGCCUCGAGUCUCUGUCCCUCAUGCCUGCUAGCAGGUGUGGUUCCAGCCUCAGUGUUCCUGAGAGUCUGUGCCUGCUCUGUUUUUGGCACCAUGCUCAGCCCCCGACAAACCCUCAGCAUGGACACAGAACCUGAAGAGAAGAAAGUGUCAGCUCCCAGGAGCCAGGGCUCCCUGAGUGGUCCCAGCCAAAAGUGUGGUAGGGCCACCGGGAUAGAAAGAACUGAUCGGGGGAGGGAGGGUUCCUAAAGGAUAAGGAGGUGAUGGGCUGAGGAGAGUUGUAUGCCAUUUGUUUCCAGGCUCUAUAGUGUAUACCAGUGUGCCAUCCGGGCUGGCUCCCACGUGGCCAAGGAAUACAGCUGGCAUCAAUCAGAUCCACAUCCCUGAGAGGACUGCAUCAACUCUUUUGGAAACUGUCUUCCCACCUUGAUGCCCUGCGCUGGGCAGCUUCUGAAAAUGGUGUGUCCUCAUGGCAACCUCUGUAUUUCUGUGUAAGAGAGGGUUUGGAUUUGGUUAUUUCAGUGUUGGGUGGCCCUUUCUCUGUCACACUCCCCCAAAAGUGAAUCAAACCACACUCCAAGUUUAGCAAAAUGUGGACAACCAUCAGUAUCAUUUUUAUUGCAAAUUAGUUAACAAAAAAAGAUGAAAAAAAUACAUCAUUUUCAUUACCUACA